GACGAAGGGGGCUAGCGUUGUUCGGAAUUACUGGGCGUAAAGCGCGUGUAGGCGGUUGCCCUAGUCAGGUGUGAAAGCCUUGAGCUCAACUCAAGAAAUGCACUUGAUACUGGGCGACUAGAGGACCGGAGAGGAUAGUGGAAUUCCCAGUGUAGUGGUGAAAUACGUAGAGAUUGGGAAGAACACCAGUGGCGAAGGCGGCUAUCUGGACGGUUUCUGACGCUAAGGUGCGAAAGCGUGGGGAGCAAACAGG
rnacentral:rRNA from 1 species